GCUUUGCUCUCCCGGUCUAAUCCUUGCUACCCGAGUGAGAGUGCUGUCUCAAUGCAAUGCAUCUGGGCAAGAGAAGGGUUCUGUGAGCAAGGGCU
rnacentral:pre_miRNA from 1 species